CAGUCGCCACGGGAAUACGUAGGGUGCAAGCGUUAAUCGGAAUUACUGGGCGUAAAGCGUGCGCAGGCGGUUUUGUAAGACAGAGGUGAAAUCCCCGGGCUCAACCUGGGAACUGCCUUUGUGACUGCAAGGCUAGAGUACGGCAGAGGGGGAUGGAAUUCCGCGUGUAGCAGUGAAAUGCGUAGAUAUGCGGAGGAACACCGAUGGCGAAGGCAAUCCCCUGGGCCUGUACUGACGCUCAUGCACGAAAGCGUGGGGAGCAAACAGGAUUAGAUACCCCAGUAGUCCCUGUCUCUUAUAC
rnacentral:rRNA from 1 species